rfam:Octopus bimaculoides Scaffold87678_contig_10, whole genome shotgun sequence.
GGCAGUUUAGUUUAAUGGUAAAACACUUGACGCAUAAUCACAGAGAUGUGAGUUCGAGUCUCAUGGCUGGCCA